GGUGAGUAACACGUGAGUAACCUGCCCCUGACUCUGGGAUAAGCGUUGGAAACGACGUCUAAUACUGGAUACGACUGCCGGCCGCAUGGUCUGGUGGUGGAAAGAUUUUUUGGUUGGGGAUGGACUCGCGGCCUAUCAGCUUGUUGGUGAGGUAAUGGCUCACCAAGGCGACGACGGGUAGCCGGCCUGAGAGGGUGACCGGCCACACUGGGACUGAGACACGGCCCAGACUCCUACGGGAGGCAGCAGUGGGGAAUAUUGCACAAUGGGCGAAAGCCUGAUGCAGCAACGCCGCGUGAGGGAUGACGGCCUUCGGGUUGUAAACCUCUUUUAGUAGGGAAGAAGCGAAAGUGACGGUACCUGCAGAAAAAGCACCGGCUAACUACGUGCCAGCAGCCGCGGUAAUACGUAGGGUGCAAGCGUUGUCCGGAAUUAUUGGGCGUAAAGAGCUCGUAGGCGGUUUGUCGCGUCUGCUGUGAAAUCCCGAGGCUCAACCUCGG
rnacentral:rRNA from 1 species